rnacentral:rRNA from 1 species
UACGUAGGGGGCAAGCGUUGUCCGGAAUCAUUGGGCGUAAAGCGCGCGUAGGCGGCCCGGUAAGUCCGUUGUGAAAGUCAAAGGCUCAACCUUUGAAUGCCGAUGGAUACUGCCGGGCUAGAGUCCGGAAGAGGCGAGUGGAAUUCCUGGUGUAGCGGUGGAAUGCGCAGAUAUCAGGAGGAACACCGAUAGCGAAGGCAGCUCGCUGGGACGGUACUGACGCUGAGACGCGAAAGCGUGGGGAGCGAACAGG